GACGAACGCUGGCGGCGUGCUUAACACAUGCAAGUCGAACGGGCCUUGUCCCCUUUUUUUGGGGGUGGGGUUAGUGGCGAACGGGUGAGUAACACGUGAGUAACCUGCCCCUCACUUCUGGAUAACCGCUUGAAAGGGUGGCUAAUACGGGGUGUUCUGGCCUGCUCGCAUGGGUGGGUUUGGAAAGAUUCGACCGGUUUUGGUUGUUUUGGUGGGGGAUGGGCUCGCGGCCUAUCAGCUUGUUGGUGGGGUGAUGGCCUGCCAAGGCUUUGACGGGUAGCCGGCCUGAGAGGGUGGGCGGUCACACUGGGACUGAGACACGGCCCAGACUCCUACGGGAGGCAGCAGUGGGGAAUAGUGCACAAUGGGCGCAAGCCUGAUGCAGCGACGCCGCGUGAGGGAUGGAGGCCUUCGGGUUGUGAACCUCUUUCGCCAGUGAAGAAGGUCCUGCUCUUUGUGGUGGGGUUGACGGUAGCUGGGUUAAUGAAGCGCCGGCUAACUACGUG
rnacentral:rRNA from 1 species